CACGUAGGGCGCAAGCGUUGUCCGGAAUCAUUGGGCGUAAAGCGCGCGUAGGUGGCCCCAUAAGUCCGCUGUGAAAGUCAAAGGCUCAACCUUUGAAAGCCGGUGGAUACUGUGGGACUAGAGUACGGAAGAGGCGAGUGGAAUUCCUGGUGUAGCGGUGGAAUGCGCAGAUAUCAGGAGGAACACCGAUGGCGAAGGCAGAUCUCUGGGCCGUAACUGACGCUGAGGAGCGAAAGCGUGGGGAGCGAACAGG
rnacentral:rRNA from 1 species